UUUUUCUUUGGCAGUUUUCUUUUAGGAUUUUGGGAGUUUUACGUUGAAUUGUUUUGUUAUUGUUAAAUUUGACGAUACUCUGCUGCUAAAGUGAUAAGAAAACCUUCAGUUUUCAAAGCAGAAAAGCUCCAUGUCAAAUGCAAAACUUAGGCAGUUUUCUGAAAUCGAAACGGCUUUUACCCAAUAUGUGGUGACAAUUUUGUUUUCGCUGCAUGGUUAUACAAGCAUUUGAUUGGUUAAGUUAUAUAAUCGAUAACAGGAGAGAAAAAUCAAAGAAGAAAUGCAACAAAUCAAUGAAAUUUCUACAGUCAUUGUUUAUUAUUGCUGUUUAAAUCUUAUUCAAGAAUUGUUUAUUAUUGCUAACACUGUUUGUAACUCACAGUGAUGGCUCCACCAAUUGAGACUACAGUCAAGUCCUCUGACUCUCACUGCGCUCCACAUCCUCCUUUGAAUGAAAGGAUCCUUUCGUCAAUGACCAGGAGGUCCGUCGCUGCUCACCCAUGGCAUGAUCUUGAAAUUGGUAACCAAUGUCAACUUUAGCUGUGUAUAGUUUCUUCUGGGUUUCAUAUUGGUUUUUUUGUAAAUAUAACAAUUUACUACUUUUUUUCCUACUAUUUUUAAUCUAUAUUACAGGACCUGGAGCUCCUACGGUUUUCAACUGCGUAAGUAUGCUAUACUUUAUCUUCUUCCCGGUUAUUACAUAUUAAAUAACAUAUCUGGGAUGGGAUAAAAUGCUCUAGACAUUACUGCAUUUGAUUGUCCCUAGCACAUUUCUUAUAAACAUUUAUGCAAAUCCUUUAGAAUUGAAAUAUAGUAAAAUUUUCAUUAAUAACAAAGGUUUUAAUAGAUCUUACUUGAUUAUUGUUAUACUGAAGAUGUGGUUAAUUUGUGCAGGUGAUUGAAAUUGGGAAAGGGAGCAAGGUGAAAUAUGAACUUGACAAGAAAACUGGUUUGAUCAAGGUAAUCAACUAGCUACCCAAAUGUACUUGAAAUGUUGUGAUAGAUUCUUAAUUGGUUGCUGAUGAAAAGUGCAUAAAUUUGCAGGUUGAUCGUGUGCUUUAUUCAUCAGUUGUGUAUCCUCACAACUAUGGUUUCAUUCCUCGUACUCUUUGUGAAGACAAUGAUCCCUUGGAUGUCCUGAUUAUUAUGCAGGUACGUCAGUUGCCCCUCAUUUUCAUUAAAAAUACCAUAGUUUAAUGCAGGGUUGCAUAACAUGUUCUUCCAAUGCACUUUGAGAUUGACAUGGUCCAUAUAGUGAAUCAAACUUGUGCUGCCAUUCUUUUCCCUUAAAAUAUUGUGCAUAUUCAAACAAAGGGUCUAAAAAUUUUAAGGCAAUACACCAUUGAAAUACUUGCAGGAACCAGUUCUUCCAGGGUGCUUUCUUCGGGCUAAAGCUAUAGGUCUGAUGCCUAUGAUUGAUCAGGUAUGCAUUAACUACUCGUUAAAAUAGUCCAGGUUCUUGUAUAAUACUCAAAACCAAACGAGAAAAUAAAAUCUGCAACCAUGAAUGUAGGGUGAGAAAGAUGACAAGAUUAUUGCUGUAUGUGCUGAUGAUCCUGAGUAUCGUCACUACAAUGACAUCAAGGAACUUCCACCUCACCGUUUGGCUGAGAUUCGCCGCUUCUUUGAGGACUGUAAGUUUAAUUAUUCUUAGUAGCAAACCAAGCGCCGCGUGUAAGUUCUACAAUCAAAGACGUCUCUGUGUAACUUUCUUUUGUCUUAAUAACUAUUUGCAGAUAAGAAGAAUGAGAACAAGGAAGUUGCUGUCAAUGACUUCCUGCCCGCCUCAACUGCUUAUGAGGCAAUCCAGCAUUCCAUGUAAGUUAUAGUUUCCUAUCUAGGCACUUAUAUAUUAAAUGAUUGAAAUAUUUAUUAACUGUUUUACUUGCAACAAGUUUUUAAUGAUUACUGAUAUUCGAUCAGUUUGAUAAAAUUUUAAGUUUUAUAUAUUUAAUUCGAUUGAAUAGACUUAUGACAUUUAUUCAAUCAGUUUGUAUAGUUUUUAUUUAAUUGGUUUUCAACAAUAUGGUUUGUAGGAAUUUAUACGCGGACUACAUUGUGGAGAGCUUAAGGCGGUAGUUGUUCAUAGCAUUCCGUCUUUAUAGUAUAUUACAUAGUUAUGAAUAUGUUUCUGCUAUAUACUGAAGUACUGUCAUGCAUACUGCAUUCACCUACGAAGUAAUUGUGUGCUUAUCCCCUAAAAUACAUUUUCAUUUUCUGGAUGGAAGAAAGAAAAAGGUUUGAAGUUAUGAUAAUUAUGUAAUGAUGAUGACCAUAAUUUUGGAUAUUUCUCAUUGUAAUGAUAAUGCCUAUAAAUCUUUUUCCUUUUUGUCAUUUGAUUCUCUUGAGUUUUAUUUUAGGGUUGUAUUAUGACAAUCGAUUUUUUUUAGUAAAAGAAAAUUCAUUAAAUGAAAACCGAUCAUACAUGGAGACAAAAUUAGCCAACAAUUAACAGAAGUUUAAAUUUCAAGCUAAUAAGUUUAUUUUAUACACCCAAACCUAAGCUUUUCGGCCACAAUCCUAGAUCGAUCAAUAUCCAGAAUAGAGCAAAGAAAACUGGGAGGAGCAUCCCAAACAUGACGUCGUACAGAAGGUAAGGUCAUAUGGUCAAGUUCAUGAGUCGCUCUAUAGCAGUUCGUCUUACCCACUGGAACGAGAUGAUCUAAUAGAAUGAUAAUCUUGCAAUAUUACUUCUGUGUCGAAAUAACUUCCUUACCAUACGAUUCAAUAUGGACAUCAUAAAAUCGCUCAUCCUUUAACCACCUGAGUAUCUCGUGGAUAACAAGAAACUAAGCCAAGAUUGGAUUAAGGAUACCUUGGAAUGUACUUGAAAGCAAGCACGUAGUUAAGGGGGGCUGGCAGGGUCCAGUCCCUCUUAAAAUAGAAAAUUUUUCAUUUAGUUUUUUUGAAACUUUUAAAAUUUUAAAUUAUUAAAGAUAAAAUUGCACUUUAAUCUCCUUAAAAAUGAUAAAUUUUACUUCUUAAGGUGUUCUCUGAUAAUUGUUUACUAAGGUGUUCUCUGAUAAAAAUAAGAAUUUGCUUCUUGUUCCUGCCAAUAAGAGACGGAAGGCCUAUAUAGAAGCCUUAGUUAAUUAUUGUUCCUGCCAUUAAGAAUUAACUAUCUUUGUGUUCGAACUAAACAUAACCCCAGAUCUUUUAUAGUUAAUAGCCUAGCUAGAAGCCUCCUCAUAGACGCGCAAAAUAUGGUGCACAACUUGACAUUCCUCAGCACUAGCUCUAAAAAAGGAAACUGUGAUCCGCGAAUAAAAGAUGGGACACUAUAUGGCCUCCACGGCAAACAGAUAUCCCGUGCAAAAUUCCACACGCUCUCGUCUGUUUGAAUAGAAAGUUAUCACCUUCGGCCCAUGACUCAAUUGAAAGAUGGUUAUAUUAAAUAUGACAAAACCAAAUAUAUUUCACAAAAUUAUUUUUCACUUAUGAUUUUGAAAAAGAAGGUCGUAAUGAAGUUUAAUAAAUUCGUUCUAGUGAUAAUUUAACAAAUUUUAUUAUCAAGGUAUUGUCAACUUUAACAUUUCAAAUACCACUAUAUAAGUUUGAAAUGUGUCGACUUAAAGACGUAAUGUGAUGUUAUCAUUAGAGUAAAAAACACAUUCUUUUUUCCUUUAACUAAGGUUUUAUCCUACUUGAUUUUCCUGGUAAAAGUUUUUAACGAGACAACUUAUAAUAGGAGAUUAUGUACCAUUUUUCCUUCAUUAGGUUUCUAUCCUAUUGGGUUUUUUCUAAUAAGAUUUUAAUGAGACACAUUUUUCAUUAAUGAACAUCCAAAGGAGACUGUUGUAAAAUGGAUAUCCAUAUAGCUCCCAUAACCCCCAAGAAUUUAUUUUCUUGUAGCCCCUAAAAAUUUAUAGGGUACCUUAAUUAUAUGUAUUAGAGUUUUGUAACCUAUGGUAGUUGAGGCCCUAUAAAUAGAAAACAUGUAUAAGUUUUUUAGAUAUCCGGAAUGAAAGUUGAAUCAUCUUUUUAUUUUUAUAUUUUUCUCUCUUGUUCAUUCUAUAUUCUGAUACUCAAAGUAGUAGCUAAAUUAUCCAUUUUUUUUCGAGUUGGAACCUAAACUGUUUUUUGGUCACAAUUGGUACCUAAACCAUAUUUUGUUGUACAAAUUACUCCUAUCAUUAAAAAGAACUCUUAACCAAUCAUUUUGUGACACGUGAUAUUUUUAAAUUAAAAUUAAAAUUAAAAGAAUAGAAUUAAAUUAAACUGUAAAAAAAACAAAUUAAAUUAAAACUUUUCAAAAAAAAAAUACACUCUCUUCCUCCCCAUAAUUCUUUCUUCUCUUUUAAUGCACAUUUUUAAUUGUUAUCUACUUACAAGAUUUUGAAAAUGAGUGAUUUUCGUAAUUAAUAAAAUUUUUGGGUCAAUUUAAAGAAAAAGCCGCCAUUCAUUUUCGGUUUCCUUGAUUAACUGUUCACAUCUAUCUAACGGACUCAAGGUACGCCACGCCAGUGAUCCGCGUGACACUCAAACAACCAAUCAAAUGUCAUCUCACCUAUCUAUAUAAAUAAUCCUCCCUCGCCAAGUUCCACUUCAUCGAGCUCCCUCAAUUCAUCUCGUAAAUACUAUUGUUCAGUUUACCCUCUCUAUAACUUUGUUUUUGUUCUCAUUCUCAUAGACAUGGCGCCGAAAGCUGAGAAGAAGCCCGCCGAGAAAAAGCCAGUAGCGGAGAAAGCCCCAGCGUCGGCAGAGAAGAGGCCGAAGGCUGAGAAAAAGAUCUCUAAAGAUAGCGGAGAUAAGAAGAAGAAGAAGAUCAAGAAGAGCACCGAGACGUACAAGAUUUAUAUUUUCAAGGUGUUGAAACAGGUUCACCCUGACAUCGGGAUCUCGAGCAAAGCCAUGGGGAUUAUGAACAGUUUCAUCAACGAUAUCUUUGAGAAACUGGCUCAGGAGUCUUCUAGAUUGGCUAGGUAUAACAAGAAGCCGACGAUCGCAUCGAGGGAGAUCCAGACGGCGGUGAAAUUGGUUUUGCCUGGUGAACUGGCGAAACACGCCGUCUCUGAAGGAACCAAGGCGGUUACUAAGUUCACAAGUUCUUAGAAUUGUGUAUUCUUUUUCAAUUGAAAUUGGGAUUUAAUUAGCGGGUUUUAGGGUUUUUAUUUUUUGAAUAAUGGUGGUAGUGCUGUAGUUGGGAUAGAGAGGUAAACUGUUUUAUGGAUACAAUAAUGAUAGUUACUAUUUGAAAUAGUUUUAUCUAUAUUUUGCUAAAAUCGUAUAGGGAUGAAUUUGGAUGAAUUUUGUAUUCAUUGUGUCAUUUUGAGUUGUGUGACUCAAACCUCUGAUGGGGUUUAUGAGUUGGUGGUAUGAUAGGAGACGUGAAGGUUGAGACCCUGUUUGUGUCCUUGAUGGGAGAUGAAUGAAAUAAUUUGUUGUGGUCAAGAAUCAAAAUAUGGAGUGAAAGCAAGGGAUUUUUAUAUCAUUAAAAGGCUUUGCUUUGUUGUCAGCUUGGCUGGAAAGAAAAAAAAAUAUUACUUACUGUUUAAAAGUGAAAUCACCUAUUUUGGAUGUUCAAGUUAAUGAAAAAGAAAUUUUUGUCAACAAAAUUAUUAUUUUUCUUUUGUUAAUUUGGUCAGAAAAUCAUUAUUGACCGUAUAUUUUUAGAGGUUAUUAUUAUUUUUGUCACCCUAAAAUACCUAGAAAUACGCUAUAGCUUUUUUGUUACCCUUUCAUGAUAGGUUAAUUUCCUUUUUAGUGUGACCAAAUAAACAAAAAAAAAUGAAUGAUUAAAAUAAGUACAAUUAUUAUUUAGAGUAAUUAAUCCGGUAAUUUUCUAUUUUUUUUAUUUUAAUGACAAUCUUCUUUAAAUAAAAAAAAGUCGUGGUUUUUUUUUUUAUUCUUUUUCUUUAUUUUGUUUUUGAAGUAGUGGUUUUUUUAUUUUAUUUUUCUCUAUGUUGUUUUUAUUAUUAAUUAAUUUUAGCUUUGGAUUUUUUUUUGAAAAAAUAAUUCAUUAAAAUUAGCACAAAAGAAAAUCAGUAGGAUAAAUCAACGAGGAAGGGAAACACUAAUCUAAACCAACUCCAUCCUAAUCUCUUCAUCGUCGAUAGAAGCACUACAAGCCAAAUCCGCAUCUAAAAUAACUUAUAAAAAGGGAUGAACAACAUCCCAAUAAGUGAGGUUGUUGCUGUCGUUGCUUUGUUUGGCAAUUUAUUUACUUCAAAUUAACUGCAAUGCUUUCCUUACUUUGAUUUGUAAUUGAUGUUUAUAAUUUGAUUUAUGGUAAAUUACAGUCUCUCAAUUAUUGGUAAGUUUUUGUUUUAUUACACAAUUAUGAAAAAUUAAAAAUGGCUAUCCAAUUAUAUCCAAUUUUUUUCCUUUUCGAUCAGCAACAGUUAAAUGAUUGACAGAAAGAAGACAUGUCAACUUCUAAAACUGGCAUAAUAAUAAUUUUAACCCUCUACAUUUAUAUAUUAUGUCAAUUUAGUCUUAAUUCUAAAUAAGUUAACCUCAAUGUUUAUGCAUUGUAUAAUUUGGUCUCUUUUUUUUCUUUUCAAUUUUGCUUUUCUUUGUGACAUUUUCACCUAAAAAGCUAAAAAAGAUUAUCAACUAAAUUUGAACGAACAUAUACCAAAAAUGAAAAUACCCAAAAUUUCAAGAUAAUAAUUUUUAUCUUCUCAUUCUUUUAAAACUAACCCUUAAUGUCACAAAUAAAAGUAAUAUCGUAAAAAAAAAAGAAGAUCAAAUUGCACAAGGUGUAAAUGUUGAGGUUUAGUUUUUUUUUUGGAAUCAAGACUAAAUUGACACAACAUAUAAAUAAUGAGGGUUAAAAUUGUUAUUAUGCCAAUUAGAAAAACUACCAAGUUAUCUUUCUAAUGAUAAUUUAACGGUUGGUGACCAAAAGAGAAAACUUCAAAUAUUUGGGCGACCAAAGAAGAAAAGUCAAGUAGUUGGGUGACCAAAAAAUAAAUUUACCAAUAGUUGGGUGUAGAGGUGUUCAUGGGCCGGGCCGGGCCUGAAAAAAAUUUAGCCCGAUUUCUAGGCCCGAGCCCGGCCCGACCCGGAAUAUGGGCCUGAGAUUUUGCCCAGGCCCGGCCCGUGGAGAAAAUAUGAAGCCCGGGCCCGGCCCGGCCCGGCCUUUUUUUUUUUACUUAAAACUAAUUGUUAUUAAAAUUAUAUCAAAUAUCAAAUUAUAUUUUUUAUACUAUAUAAUGAACAAAAAAUAAAAUAAGAUUACUUAUUUGAAUUUAAUUACAAACAAUCAAUUCUUAAAAAAAGAGAAUAAAAAUAAAAAAUGAUUAUACAAGUAAUUACAAAACAAUUAACUCGAAUUUAAUUACUUUUAACUUUUUAACUUUAAAUAUUUUAAAAUUUAUCAUAUCAUUACAUUUUUAUGCUUUUAAAGGAUAACAAAUUAACAAUGUUAUACUAAAUCUGUUAAUUUAUGGCCAAUUUUGCAUUUCCCAAAGGUAAUUUAUGGCCUCACAAUUUUAUACGAAAUCUGUUUGUUCUUGGCUAUAUUUUGUCUUAAUUAUUUAUGGCCAAAUUAGUUAUUUACGAAUGGCAUAUAGAAAGCAUUUGAAGAAGACUCUCUUCAUUUUGGGAUUGUUAAAUAGACUUGAUAAAUCUGCUUAUGGCAGCUUGUAAAAACUGAUUCUCACCAUUUUAACAAGGAUUUGCACUUUCAAAAGUAUAAUUGCAGAAGAAUCGAAGUGAAGAGAAACUAAAACUUAAAACUUUGGGGCUUCAUAAUAACAAAAAGACAACAUUUUCAAUAGUUCAUAACAUAAAAAUAAUACCUUCGAACAGUACAUAACAUUUAAAAAGAAAACAAAAACAAAUCUUUGGACAGCAUAAAACAUAAAGCAUAAAAAAUAAUACCUUCAGAAGUUGCAGAAGAAUCGAAGUGAAGAGAAGUAGAGAACAACAACAACGCUAGCGUCGUGGAACUGGAGCCUGGAGGUAGAGUCGUCGAGGACCGUACAUCGGAGGUGGGAUGGUUGAUCGGUGGAGGUGGAGGUGGAGUUUUCGAUUUGGGGGAAAAAAUGAGGAGGGAAGGGAAGGGGUUAGGGAUUCUGAAGUUUGAACGGGUGGGGGAAAUGGGAAAGGUAAGUAGGUAAC
rnacentral:lncRNA from 1 species